rnacentral:misc_RNA from 1 species
GGCAUCAAGUUCUUGAAUCAAUGAAAGUUGGAUGCUUUUGUUGAACUAAAGAAAGGUGCUUUGGCUGUGAAUCUCAAUAGGGUUAUAAAGGUUUGAUUUUUUUGAUCUGUUUGAGUGGUUUUGUGGGAUUUUCAUUUUUACUGUACUUGUAUGAUUGAACCCUUCUUGGAGAACCAUCUUUUUCCUCUUUUGAGUGAGAGUUGUUU